GCGGGAGUCGCCAAGUGGUAAGGCGUCAGCCUUCCAAGCUGAUAUCCGCGGGUUCGAAUCCCGUCUCCCGCU
rnacentral:tRNA from 1 species